rnacentral:rRNA from 1 species
GACGAACGCUGGCGGCGUGCUUAACACAUGCAAGUCGAACGGAAAGGCCCUGCUUUUGUGGGGUGCUCGAGUGGCGAACGGGUGAGUAACACGUGAGUAACCUGCCCUUGACUUUGGGAUAACUUCAGGAAACUGGGGCUAAUACCGGAUAGGAGCUCCUGCUGCAGGGUGGGGGUUGGAAAGUUUCGGCGGUUGGGGGUGGACUCGCGGCUUAUCAGCUUGUUGGUGGGGUAGUGGCUGACCAAGGCUUUGACGGGUAGCCGGCCUGAGAGGGUGACCGGCCACAUUGGGACUGAGAUACGGCCCAGACUCCUACGGGCGGCAGCAGUGGGGAAUAUUGCACAAUGGGCGGAAGCCUGAUGCAGCAACGCCGCGUGCGGGAUGACGGCCUUCGGGUUGUAAACCGCUUUCGCCUGUGACGAAGCGUGAGUGACGGUAAUGGGUAAAGAAGCACCGGCUAACUACGUG